GUUACAGCCACACCACUCACUAUCCAUCUUGGAAAGAAUGCUGCUCAUCUCUAGAAAUGAAAAGGGAGCAAAGUGUUAGAAAAAGAAACGGGCAUACAAUGAAGAAAGUAAGAGAAAAGGCCCAUGAGAAAGUUCAUGGGAGCUGAUGAAUUUUCAAGAGAAACUGAGAGCAGGAGCACGAGUAGACAGGAACUUGCAGCAUCUGUGUCAGGAGGUCUUGUGGGUUGACAGAAGUGGACUGCGGAGAGAGCUGAAGAUGGAGAACAUGCCAGAUCACUGUUCUCAAAGAGCACUGCGUGAUUCCCCCAGCAUCAGAAUCACCAGAGGGGCUUCCUGAAAAUGAAGACUGGAGACUCAUGGUAGGCACAGAAUCAGAAUGUGCAGGGAAGGACCUGGGAACAUGCACUUGAACCAACCUGCCAUGCUCAGAGCUUGAGAGCCACUACUACAAGUAUAUUACCCUCUCUCCUUUGCUAUCAC